CAUCUUUCUUGCUAGAACUCUUAUGUUGUAAUGAAGUCUUUAGAAUUAUGAAGUAAUCGAUAAAAGAAGAUUUAUCGUAUAGUUCUUAAACAUAUUCAUGAUCAAAUGAUAUGUCAUUAAAGGAUGAUGAUGUUUAUCGUGUGAAGGUCAUUGUGUGCCAUAUAGGUUGGUUGUCCUUUUAAUCAAGAAGUGUGGAGAUAUUGGUAUGGCAUACAGAUAAGAUGUAGGAGUACAUCAUCACUGAACAAGUGACUCACUUGCUGAGUACUUUGCUAUCAAGAGCAGCUUGCGAAGCGUAUGGACAUAAGUGUCUCUCUGACCUGAGAUCACCAUAGUGACUUGCAAGCAACUCACUGUGCUUUAGUGCCGGACUACCUGUAUUUCUAAUAUAGUGAUGGAAGGCUACUAAGUACAGUCAAGUAUAUAUGAAGUCUGUAUGUGGAUCAAAAUAGAAUUGAUCCCUUCAAAUUAUAGUAGCUGAUGCAUCACUGUAUUUUAAUUGAGUAAAAUUUUGGCCAAGAUAAUCCAUGUGAUUGAUUUGAAAGGUUGGAAUACAAUAUGGAUGAUCAUUCAGGGUUCACAGUUUAGCCCUAAACCAUCCUAGAGC
rnacentral:lncRNA from 1 species